ACCCUGGGAUCAUGACCCGAGCCGAAGGCAAAGGCUUUAACCCACUGAGCCAACCAGGCGCCUCGAGAACCAAUCUUUAAAGUCAGACAGACCUGAGUUUAAAAAAGUAAGGCAAAACAAAACAAAACAAGAGGAACAGAGGAGAUAAAAAGUAGGGGUUGACAAAGACAGUGUAAAAGAAAAAAAUCUUAUCUUGUGAACUGCUGAUAUGUUGUAUCAUCUAUUUCCCACAAAAACCAUGUGGGGAUAAAUAUUUCUCCCAUUUUCACAGAUGAGGAGCAUGUGCUCAGGAAUUUGAGUCAUGGGCCCCAAAUCACACAGAAGCGUGGGUGGAAAAUACACUCAGACUCACACAAUGCAUCUGCCUAGAGAUGACACACAUUCAAACACACACAGAGAAACAGAACUCUGUAGUGUGGAUUACUUUGUGAUGUAGCUACCUUAAAUCUGAAACACAAUACUUGCUAGGUUAUGUAGUGUCUGUUAAAGUUUUAUAUUUUUAUCUCCUAAGAAUGUAUACCAAUCAUCCACUAUUAUUUUUUACACUUUUCCACUUAUAAAUAAAAAGUUCUAGAUAUUUUCGUAUUAUUAUUUGGAAGAGCUACUUAUACAAUUCAUUGCCAAACUUUCAGAUUGUAAUUUUCAAAGUGAAAAGAGACUGAAAUGGCAGGUUACGCAUCACUGAAGACUGCCUUUAGGUCCUAAAGGCCUACCUAUCCAAAGCUUCUACUGGAAAUCAAGAGAAGUUAUUUAACUUCCAAUAGCACUUAAGAUAAUAAAGAAAAAUAAAUCUUUGUAUUUAGCCAAGUAAGAAAUAAACAAGAAUUGCCAACUUUCUUUGAUAAGCCUAAAAAUUAUACUGUGAACUCUAAGGGUUUUAAGGAACAAGAGUGUAUAGCCUUGGGUAGUGAGUGACCGGGUGUCCUGACAUGUUCUGCAUGUCUUAACAUCUUUAGAUUCUCAAUUUGUGAAGACUCGGUUUUACUUGUAAUACUAACAAGAAAUGAUAUGUAAUUCUAUCAAUCACUUUGUGCUCUUAGGUCUUAAAAUCUUUCUAUUCAAUGCAGCAUCUUUCCACUUCCAAAAAAGAAAACGUUAAUGAAGUAAUCAAUGAAAGAUGACAGACAUGUUGAAUGUUCUCAAGAUGAGAACUGAAAAAUGACCUUUGGCUUAAAUGCAUAAAAAUUACAUCUAGCAUGGCUGCAGGAUAACACUGGAAAUAUCAACCAAUUCUUGACUUUCUGUGGGCCAUCUCCGUGACUGCUGGUGUGUGCAAAACCCAUCAGGGUGAAACAUGCCCUGGAAAAAAAUUUACAUUGGAAAAAUCUGAGGUACAUUUGAGAUUUUUUCAGUGACAGCCCAGUUUUAAUUCUUUCCCUAAGUCUUCUAGUAAAUUACCUCUCUACUAAUUCAAAGAUGCUACUGACAAUACUUUUCACUCUAUUUUAAAGAAAGGAACUGAAUCUUGACUCCCCCAUAUUUAAGAUGAU